rnacentral:lncRNA from 1 species
CUAAAAUUUACUAAAUUACCUGUAACAUUUUCUACUUAAUAAUAUUAAAAUCAAGAGAAUACUAGAAUUUCUUAAUUAAAAACAUAAAUAUAUACUCAUUUUUAUCAUGUAACAAUCGAACUGUAUGAAAAGAGUAAGUUUUAUUAUGUAUUUGAGCAUAGUAUUUAACUAAUUUGUAUUCACUGCACAUAUACUAUAAGUAUUGAGUAAUGUUUAAUCCAGAAGUGUAGGUAGCAGUUUGAAUCGGAGCAUGCUCAGUUGAACGACAUUGUAACGGACACACAAUGGUUGUGGUGGAGGAGCUGCGCGGCUGGAUAUACUCAUGUUCAAUAGAGCUGGAUAGCACCCUCUUGUAAAAACAUUGUCAUUCAGGGUGAUGUCUUUUCUAACACAAGCCCAGGCAGUGGACAGCUGAGGUCUUGGGACAGACUUGGGACAGGCUAAGCUGGAUCCAUACUCCGCGAGACAAAGACAUUUUUCCCCCCU